rnacentral:rRNA from 1 species
UAUGGCGACCGGCGCACGGGUGAGUAACACGUAUCCAACCUGCCGAUGACUCGGGGAUAGCCUUUCGAAAGAAAGAUUAAUACCCGAUGGCAUAGUUCUUCCGCAUGGUAGAACUAUUAAAGAAUUUCGGUCAUCGAUGGGGAUGCGUUCCAUCAGGUUGUUGGCGGGGUAACGGCCCACCAAGCCUUCGAUGGAUAGGGGUUCUGAGAGGAAGGUCCCCCACAUUGGAACUGAGACACGGUCCAA